AUACGUAGGUGACAAGCGUUAUCCGGAUUUACUGGGCGUAAAGGGCGUGUAGGCGGUCUUGCAAGUCAGAAGUGAAAUUCCUGAGCUCAACUCGGGCGCUGCUUCUGAAACUGCAGGACUUGAGUGCUGGAGGGGAUAGCGGAAUUCCUAGUGGAGCGGUAAAAUGCGCAGAUAUUAGGAAGAACACCGGUGGCGAAGGCGUAUAUCUGGACAGAAACUGACGCUGAGGCUCGAAAGCGUGGGGAGCAAACAAGAUGAGAUACCCUGGUAUGCCACGCCGUAAACGAUGAAUACUAGGUGUAGGGGGUAUCGACUCCCUCUGUGCCGCAGUUAACACAAUAAGUAUUCCGCCUGGUGAGUACGGCCGCAAGGUUGAAACUCAAAGGAAUUGACGGGG
rnacentral:rRNA from 1 species